CCUACGGGUGGCAGCAGUGAGGAAUAUUGGUCAAUGGGCGCAAGCCUGAACCAGCCAAGUCGCGUGAGGGAAUACGGCCCUACGGGUUGUAAACCUCUUUUGCCGGGGAGCAAGGGCGGGGACGUGUCGCGGCCCGGAGAGUACCCGGAGAAAAAGCAUCGGCUAACUCCGUGCCAGCAGCCGCGGUAAUACGGAGGAUGCGAGCGUUAUCCGGAUUUAUUGGGUUUAAAGGGUGCGUAGGCGGGGUUUUAAGUCAGCGGUAAAAUUUCGGGGCUCAACCCCGUCCGGCCGUUGAAACUGGGGGACUUGAGUGGACGAGAAGAAGGCGGAAUGCGUGGUGUAGCGGUGAAAUGCAUAGAUAUCACGCAGAACCCCGAUUGCGAAGGCAGCCUUCCGGCGUCCUACUGACGCUGAGGCACGAAAGUGCGGGGAUCGAACAGGAUUAGAUACCCCUGUAGUC
rnacentral:rRNA from 1 species